UCCUUUCUCCUCCUCUCAAGAAAGAAACAGAGUCUUCUAGACCCCUCCCAAAUUCCUCGCCGGCGCCGGGAUCUCGCGUCACCACUCUCCUCCGCUGCCUCCCGAACUUCCCUCGCUCUGGAUCCGGUCCACCAUGAGCCAAGCCUCGCCGCCAAGUCCCUUGCCGCCGCCUGUGUCCUAUGUCCCCACGGCAGCCGCCGCCGCAUCGCCCCCCUUGCUCGAUGCAUCGGCUCGGCUCCAGCGCCUAACCCAGGGUCGCAUGGUGGGCUGCGCGAGCCUGCCGGCCUGCCCCGCAGCCCCCUCGCCAACAUGGGCCCAGCCGCCCCUCCUCGCCUCGCGAGGUAGCUGGAGAAGAAGCUGCCGGAUCGGAGGCUACCGCACGACAAGAUCAUCUGCUGCUGCUGUGUCUGCUUGUUGAAGAAGGGUGUGCCGGCAGGAGGAGGCAGUGUUGAGAGUGCUCGGUCUGCAACAGGGCGAGCUUGGGCUGCACCGCAGGCUCUGGUUCUCAACCUCCAACAUGAUUCCCUUUCUUCCGUGCCUCCAAUGGAGGCUACCAGCGGCAGGAACGCCACGAGUCAUCCUGGCAUUGCAGAUGCAGAGCCUUCCAGGGGUGACCUGUUUGUUCCCGGCCGCGCCGAUGUCAACUACCUUCAUCCACUGUGACUGUCCCCAACCACGCUCAACUCCCCAAACCUGUACCAUCCCCUCAGGUCAAUAUUCAUACCCUUUUCAUUGCGACAUUCGUCAGAUUUUUGUACUUGGGAUGAUUUGGUGCAAGGCAUAGAGGAGCAUGAUCAAGCAUGGCUAAAUAUAUUUGUAAGUAGAGAAGUUCUUGAGUCACACACUAAAGGAAGAGAGAUAAGCUUUUUCUCUUUGUUGUAUCAAGUAAUUUACUUCCCAGUCCGCUAUAUAUUAUUGUGUACUGAAUGCAAUCUGAAAUAACCUCUUUUACAAGAAAAUACGUACCUGUGUGGUUGUGUGAGAUCUAUUUGGAAGUGCUAAUUGAUGAAAUGUAUGUAGCAUUAGUAAUAACCUUCUGAUGUGUGGUCAGAUAUGUGAUAAUUAGUGAAAUGUUGCUUUAGAUAGUUUUUU